rnacentral:rRNA from 1 species
GAUCCCAUCAGAACUCCGAAGUUAAGCGUGCUUGGGCGAGAGUAGUAUUAGGAUGGGUGACCCCCUGGGAAGUCCUCGUGUUGCACCC